rfam:Bacillaceae bacterium MTCC 8252 Contig32, whole genome shotgun sequence.
UUCUUAUCAAGAGCAGGUGGAGGGAUGAGCCCGAUGAAGCCCGGCAACCGGCUUAUUUUAAGCACGGUGCUAAUUCUCACAACAGUUAUGUUGAAAGAUAAGAA